rnacentral:lncRNA from 1 species
UCCAGAACUAUGUGAAAAUUAUUGUAACUAAAGUCUUUUCAAGAUUCCAUUUCAUAAUUAAGAGUUACUAGUUUUUCUUUCAAAAAUUAGACAUAAUUAAAAUUUUAAAUAUUAAUAAUAUUCUUACAAAAAUUAAACUAAUCUACACCACCCAGCCGCCCACCCCAUAACCCCAAUUCAAUUUCCUCCCAAACCCUAAAAACAAUUUUCACUCUCUUUUUCCUCACUCCGUCUUCUUUAUUCUCAAUCUCUCUACCUACCACCACCAUUCACAGUGUCGCCGCCCCUCUCUAAUCCAGCGAUGCAAGACAGCACAACGCUACAUCGCACCAUCGCCUAUCUCUGUCGAUGACGUCGCUCUCCUCAUACGAAUCGGCACCGUAGCCUGACCCAGAUCUCCCAUCAUUCUUCGACGAUGUGAGGGCCAUCGCCUAUAACCAGUGCAGAAUGGGCUAUUCCACCGAGCACAACUCGCAACAGCAUUAUGCUGCCAUGGUCUGUGAUUUGUAUUGAUCUGUGGACGAGCAUUUGCCAUGGCCCGCUAUUUGUUGUUUGUGGCUGCCAUGGUUUGAGAUGAUUUUUGGGAGUUGGUUUUUGGACGUGAAGGACGAUGGCUACGCCAUAUUUGGUUGGUUUUUGUUAGCUAUUGGGGUGGUUUUAUUGGCUGGGGUGCUAGUGGAUCUGGUAUUGCUGGUUGUAGAUCUAGAGCUGAUGAUGGUGGAUAAAGCGAUGGUGGUAGUCAUCGUGGCGGUGGUGCAGUGGUUGUACUAUUGGGUGGGUGUUUGACACCAAUUAUUUAGGAUAUGAUGGGUGGUGCAGUGGUUGUGCCAGUGAAUGGGAUAGGAUAUGGUGGGGUGGGUGGUUGGGUGCAAUGUUGUUGACUAGUGGUUGUGUGUGUUGAUGCUGUGGUGCUGUGUGCGGUGGUAUUGACGGCUUUACGAUAGUUCUGGUGGGUGUGCAGGGUGUGAUGGUGUUGGAGUGGUGGUGGUAGCAACUUCCAUAUUUUGGCAGUGGUGAGGCGGUCGACAAUGGUGGUCAUGGUAGUGGUCACGAUGGUAAUGGUGAGAUGUUAAUGGUGAUACGCCUGUCGGAUUGGUGGUGGAUCUAGCGCAACAAUGUGGUGUUUUUCUUCAAUUUGUUGAUUUGUUUGAGGUGGUUGUGUUACUGUUGGGAGGUGGGGGUGGUGCUGUUGCUAGAAGCAGUGGAGAGAUGGUGGUCACAAGUAUAGGUGGUGGUCAUAAAUUAUUUAGUUGAUUGUAACCAUUAAAUUGGUUAAUCUGUGACCAAUGAAAAAUAUAAAUUGUGACCAAGAAAUAAUAUGUAACCUAAAAAAUUACUAAUAUGUGACAGAUAAUUUGAUAAUUUGUGACUGUAUAAUAAGUUGUGAAUAAUAUUUGUGGUUUGUGUUCGAU